CAUAAUUUUCAGAAAGAAGUCGUGCAGCAGACGACGUCAAGACCACCCACAACUGGAUGGAAAAUGUGAUAAUCGUCUAGACGACAUUUUCGAAUCUAACCAAGUUUUGUUGAUAAGCUGUGAUGACUUUGCCCGUAACCGUUUUCCCAUUAUGGCAUCAUUCCUGAAUUUUAUUCCUUUCCUGAUACAAAAACGCAGUGGCGACCACCAAGAGUCGCCGACCGUCAUUUUCUUUUGUUAAAACUUCAAAAGUUUCUAAAAGAAAAACAUUUCACGUGGCAGUUUUCGUAGAGUGGCCUUUAUGUUUGUAUUUUCCUUCUUGUUUGAAAUUCCAUCUUCUCUUUUGUUAUUGUUAAUCAUCGUGCUACGAAACAGUAUACAAGAAAAAAAAAGGGAUGCGACAAGGCAAUUUAACUGAAAGGUUUCUUGGAUGUUCUCGUCUCUUUUAUCUUCUUCUCUUUCUCUACUCCUUUUUUGGUUGACUGGAGAAGAGAGGCGGUCACCAAAACAUGAAUUAUUGACAAAGUUCAACCUACCGAUGUCUUUGCCUUCAACACAAAUAAAUGUCACACGAUUUCUUCAUUAGAAUUCUCAGAUAUUGAAAAAACAAUUUUCACCAAAAAAAAGUUCUUUUGAAAUACUUUGCUCGUAAAAAAUAAAGGAAAAAUUAAACACAUAAAGUUUGAUCUUU